CUACGUGCCAGCAGCCGCGGUAAUACGUAGGUGGCGAGCGUUAUCCGGAAUUAUUGGGCGUAAAGGGUGCGUAGGCGGCCUGUUAAGUAAGUGGUUAAAUUGUUGGGCUCAACCCAAUCCAGCCACUUAAACUGGCAGGCUAGAGUAUUGGAGAGGCAAGUGGAAUUCCAUGUGUAGCGGUAAAAUGCGUAGAUAUAUGGAGGAACACCAGUGGCGAAGGCGGCUUGCUAGCCAAAGACUGACGCUCAUGCACGAAAGCGUGGGGAGCAAAUAGGAUUAGAUACCCUAGUAGUCCACGCCGUAAACGAUGAAUACUAAGUAUUGGGGAAACUCAGUGCUGCAGCUAACGCAAUAAGUAUUCCGCCUGUGGAGUAUGCACGCAAGUGUGAAACAUAAAGGAAUUGACGGGGGCCCGCACAAGCGGUGGAGUAUGUGGUUUAAUUCGACGCAACGCGAAGAACCUUACCAGGCCUUG
rnacentral:rRNA from 1 species